rnacentral:rRNA from 1 species
UGGGGAAUAUUGCACAAUGGGCGCAAGCCUGAUGCAGCCAUGCCGCGUGUGUGAAGAAGGCCUUCGGGUUGUAAAGCACUUUCAGCGGGGAGGAAGGCGAUAAGGUUAAUAACCUUGUCGAUUGACGUUACCCGCAGAAGAAGCACCGGCUAACUCCGUGCCAGCAGCCGCGGUAAUACGGAGGGUGCAAGCGUUAAUCGGAAUUACUGGGCGUAAAGCGCACGCAGGCGGUCUGUCAAGUCGGAUGUGAAAUCCCCGGGCUCAACCUGGGAACUGCAUUCGAAACUGGCAGGCUAGAGUCUUGUAGAGGGGGGUAGAAUUCCAGGUGUAGCGGUGAAAUGCGUAGAGAUCUGGAGGAAUACCGGUGGCGAAGGCGGCCCCCUGGACAAAGCCUGACGCUCAGGUGCGAAAGCGUGGGGAGCAAACAGG